CCCGCUGAACUUAAGCAUAUCAAUAAGCGGAGGAAAAGAAACCAACAGGGAUUGCCCCAGUAACGGCGAGUGAAGCGGCAACAGCUCAAAUUUGAAAUCUGGCCCCCCGGGGCCCGAGUUGUAAUUUGGUCAGCCGUCACUUCGCCUCGAUUUCCCCGACGAUGCCGCUGGGUCUCUCGCUGCGGCGAGGCCCCAGCGUGUCGUGGGGGGGGACUGUGCAGGGGAGGGAGAGGGAGAGGGAGAGCUCGCCCGCCUAGACGGGCGGCGACGACGACGACGAGGACGAGGACGACGAGAUUGCCUCUGCGUCUGCGAGGGCCGAGACGGUGCAGGGUAAGCCGGCUGACUUGGCUUUGACUUCUCUAGACGGGCGGCGACGACGACGACGAGUACGAGGACGACGAGAUUGCCUCUGCGUCUGCGAGGGCCGAGACGGUGCAGGGGAAGCCGGCUGACUUGGCUUUGACUUUGCUUCCGUCUCUGUUUUCUUCUCAUUCCCCCCUCUGCAAAGGUGAGCGGAUCUCGGGGCUCGUGGGGCAGGCCACCCCCGGCGAACGAUAGUUACCUGGUUGAUUCUGCCAGUAGUCAUAUGCUUGUCUCAAAGAUUAAGCCAUGCAUGCGCAUCAUCGACCGAUCCUGAUGUUCUCGGAUGGAUUUGAGUAAGAGCAUACGGGGCCGGACCCGAAAGAAGGUGAACUAUGCCUGUAUAGGGUGAAGCCAGAGGAAACUCUGGUGGAGGCUCGCAGCGGUUCUGACGUGCAAACGCCGCGGGGGGGAGGGGGUCUGGGCGCUGGUUCCAGGUAGGUAAAACAAGAAAGGCUGUUAGGAGGCGCGGUGAAGGGAAUGGAUUUAUAGGGGGAAGGGGGCGAAGUUGGCGGUAAGAGGCCCUUACGGGGAGGGAGCUGCCGACCUAGCGGCUGCCCGAUACCACAAAAGGUGUUAGUACAUCUUGACAGCAGGACGGUGGCCAUGGAAGUCGGAAUCCGCUAAGGACUGUGUAACAACUCACCUGCCGAAUGUACUAGCCCUGAAAAUGGAUGGCGCUCAAGCGUCUCACCCAUACCUCGCCCUCAGGGUAGAAACGAAGCCCUGAGGAGUAGGCGGACGUGGGGGUCAGUGACGAAGCCUAGGGCGUGAGCCCGGGUCUGUUCUCUUAUCUAGAGGUCACGUGAGAAUAAAGGUAUAGGGUAGGCUCUCUGUCCUCUAUUGAUAAGGUAUUAUAGAAGUUGAAUACCCCAAUGUCUUCCGUACUAAAACCGACUUAGAUACGAAAUGGUGGGGGGCGGGGUGGUAUAGGGUAGGUCAGUCGGUGUAGGGUAGGCUUGGGUUGGCUGCGGCGUUAUCCCUAAGGACUGUGUAACAACUCACCUGCCGAAUGUACUAGCCCUGAAAAUGGAUGGCGCUCAAGCGUCUCACCCAUACCUCGCCCUCAGGGUAGAAACGAAGCCCUGAGGAGUAGGCGGACGUGGGGUGUGCCGUCGGGCGCUGGUGGUGCCUAGUGCAAUUGGUGCAUGCUUGCAGCGCUCGCAGGGUGUGCCGUCGGGCGCUGGUGUGGUGCGGGGCGGCGCGCGAGGAACUUUCCCCAAAAUCUGCGCUCGUGGGUUUUUCGUUUGUAUGGGCGGGAGCAGCCCUUUUUUUUUUGCCAUACAAAUUGAGCGUUUUCGAGAAAAAAAAAAACGCGCGUUGUAUGGUGGGGGCGGGGCCGGAGUUUGUAUGGGCGGGAGCAGACCUUUUUUUUUUGCCAUACAAAUUGAGCGUUUUCGAGAAAAAAAAAAACGCGCGUUGUAUGGGGGGGGCGGGGCCGGAGCGUCGAUGGGGUCGGUGGGUAUGUGAGGGAGGGGCGAUCAGCCCGGACAGCCCUCGGGGUCAGCGGGAGGGAAUAAUUCUCACGCCAGGUCGUACUCAUAACCGCAGCAGGUCUCCAAGGUGAACAGCCUCUGGUU
rnacentral:ncRNA from 1 species